rnacentral:rRNA from 1 species
GGUGGCGCGGCUAUAAUGCAAGUCGAGCGAAUCGAUGGGAGCUUGCUCCCUGAGAUUAGCGGCGGACGGGUGAGUAACACGUGGGCAACCUGCCUAUAAGACUGGGAUAACUUCGGGAAACCGGAGCUAAUACCGGAUACGUUCUUUUCUCGCAUGAGAGAAGAUGGAAAGACGGUUUACGCUGUCACUUAUAGAUGGGCCCGCGGCGCAUUAGCUAGUUGGUGAGGUAAUGGCUCACCAAGGCGACGAUGCGUAGCCGACCUGAGAGGGUGAUCGGCCACACUGGGACUGAGACACGGCCCAGACUCCUACGGGAGGCAGCAGUAGGGAAUCUUCCGCAAUGGACGAAAGUCUGACGGAGCAACGCCGCGUGAACGAAGAAGGCCUUCGGGUCGUAAAGUUCUGUUGUUAGGGAAGAACAAGUACCAGAGUAACUGCUGGUACCUUGACGGUACCUAACCAGAAAGCCACGGCUAACUACGUGCCAGCAGCCGCGGUAAUACGUAGGUGGCAAGCGUUGUCCGGAAUUAUUGGGCGUAAAGCGCGCGCAGGUGGUUCCUUAAGUCUGAUGUGAAAGCCCACGGCUCAACCGUGGAGGGUCAUUGGAAACUGGGGAACUUGAGUGCAGAAGAGGAAAGUGGAAUUCCAAGUGUAGCGGUGAAAUGCGUAGAGAUUUGGAGGAACACCAGUGGCGAAGGCGACUUUCUGGUCUGUAACUGACACUGAGGCGCGAAAGCGUGGGGAGCAACCAGGAUUAGAUACCCUGGUAGUCCACGCCGUAAACGAUGAGUGCUAAGCGUUAGAGGGUUUCCGCCCUUUAGUGCUGCAGCUAACGCAUAAGGACUCCGCCUGGGGAGAACGGCCCCAGGGCUUAAACUCCAAGGAAUUGACGGGGGCCCGCCCAACGCAA